CAGAGACGGUCACCAUGCACCAAAUGAUCUCAAUAGUGGUGUGCUUCAUUUUCAUCAUAAUCGUGACGGUCACAGUCUUCAUCUACAGAGAAAAAACCGCCAGACCUCUCCACGGACAUACAUACAUCAACUCUAAAUCUUAAAUCAAAACCUAAAUCUUCAUCAUUUUAUCACUUUAUAUCAAGUGUAACCCUGUAUUCAAUGAUAAGAUGAUUGGAUUCAUUUCUGAUAAUAUUACAUAAUGGAAUAUUAUAUAAUAUAAAGUCAAAUUUAUUUUUAUCUUUAUUUUUUAUAUUUAAAUAUUUUAAAUGCAUGUUUUGUCAUCAUUUUACUCAUAAUAUUUACAAUCAUAGUAUCCAUAUUUACAUUUUUGGCAUCAUUGGCUACUUCUAAAAUUGGUACUUGCUGUGUUUUUGUGAAUGAUUUUGUCAUUAUAUAAUAAUACUUCUCAAAAUGCUCAUAAUAAAGAUGCAAUAUUUUUACUGUG